rnacentral:rRNA from 1 species
GUUAGUAACACGUGGGUGAUCUGCCCUGCACUUCGGGAUAAGCCUGGGAAACUGGGUCUAAUACCGGAUAGGAGCCAUUUUUAGUGUGAUGGUUGGAAAGUUUUUUCGGUGUAGGAUGAGCUCGCGGCCUAUCAGCUUGUUGGUGGGGUAAUGGCCUACCAAGGCGGCGGCGGGUAGCCGGCCUGAGAGUGUGGACGGCCACAUUGGGACUGAGAUACGGCCCAG